rnacentral:rRNA from 1 species
CCUGCUGGGUAACCACGACGUGAUGAACGUGGACGGGGACUUUCGGUACGUGACGCGAGGGGCGUACGAGGAGUCUGCGCGCUGGGCCAUG